GGGCAUCUUCGGAUGCUAGUGGCAGACGGGUGAGUAACACGUGGGAACGUACCUUUCGGUUCGGAAUAAUACAGGGAAACUUGUACUAAUACCGGAUACGCCCUUCGGGGGAAAGAUUUAUCGCCGAUAGAUCGGCCCGCGUCUGAUUAGCUAGUUGGUGAGGUAAUGGCUCACCAAGGCGACGAUCAGUAGCUGGUCUGAGAGGAUGAUCAGCCACACUGGGACUGAGACACGGCCCAGACUCCUACGGGAGGCAGCAGUGGGGAAUAUUGGACAAUGGGCGAAAGCCUGAUCCAGCCAUGCCGCGUGUGUGAUGAAGGCCUUAGGGUUGUAAAGCACUUUUGUCCGGGAAGAUAAUGACUGUACCGGAAGAAUAAGCCCCGGCUAACUUCGUGCCAGCAGCCGCGGUAAUACGAAGGGGGCUAGCGUUGCUCGGAAUCACUGGGCGUAAAGGGCGCGUAGGCGGACUCUUAAGUCGGGGGUGAAAGCCCAGGGCUCAACCCUGGAAUUGCCUUCGAUACUGAGAGUCUUGAGUUCGGAAGAGGUUGGUGGAACUGCGAGUGUAGAGGUGAAAUUCGUAGAUAUUCGCAAGAACACCAGUGGCGAA
rnacentral:rRNA from 1 species